rnacentral:rRNA from 1 species
ACAAGGUCUCCGUUGGUGACCAGCGGAGGGAUCAUUAAAGAAGUUGCAAAACUCCUGAACCCUAUUGUGAAUACCACUGUGGAACGUUGCUUCGGCGGGCGGUCCCGGGGAGGGACCGUAGCCCGGGAGGGCGCCCGCCGGAGUGCUGAAACCUCGGAAUACCAGGCCUCUCUGAGCGAAAAAAUAACGGAAUCAAAACUUUCAACAACGGAUCUCUUGGUUCGGGCAUCGAUGAAGAACGCCGCGAAAUGCGAUACGUAAUGUGAAUUGCAGAACUUAGCGAAGCAUCGAAUCUUUGAACGCAUAUUGCGCCCGGGGGUAUUCUCCCGGGCAUGCCUGCCCGAGCGUCAUUUCCACCCUCGCGCCCGGCGCGGUGCUGGGGCCCUGCGGCUGCCGCAGGCCCUGAAAUACAGGGGCGGGCGCGCCGGACGCCCAGCGCAGUCAUCUCCCUCGCUGGCGGCGUCCCGGUGGCACCCGCCGGAAAACACCCCUUUCGACAAGGUUGACCUCGGAUCAGGUAGGAAUACCCGCUGAACUUAAGCAUAUCAAUAAGCGGAGGAAAAAAGAAACCAACCA